GCUUCCCAAUGUCCUCCGAACGAAAUCAUCUCCAAAAUUGAGGAAGCUGCAAAGCCUCUAGGUUUCAAUGUUGACAAGCGAAACUAUAAGAUGAAGUUGAAAGGUGACAAAAGAGGGAGAAAGGGACAACUAUCCAUAGCUACCGAGGUGUUCGAAUCCAGGUUGCUCCCUGCUUACAUGUGGUGGAGUUCCGGAAAACCGGCGGAGACACAUUGGAGUUUCACAAGUUCUACAAAAACUUUUCAUCUGGAUUGAAUGAUAUAAUCUGGAAAACUGAUGGAAUUCCUGAAGAAAAAGAGAAGUGCGUGG